UACGUAGGGUGCGAGCGUUGUCCGGAAUUAUUGGGCGUAAAGAGCUCGUAGGCGGCUUGUCGCGUCGGAUGUGAAAGCCCGGGGCUUAAACUCCGGGUCUGCAUUCGAUACGGGCAGGCUAGAGUUCGGUAGGGGAGAUCGGAAUUCCUGGUGUAGCGGUGAAAUGCGCAGAUAUCAGGAGGAACACCGGUGGCGAAGGCGGGUCUCUGGGCCGUAACUGACGCUGAGGAGCGAAAGCAUGGGGAGCGAACAGG
rnacentral:rRNA from 1 species